UGGACUUCCAAAACACACCCUUUGGGGGUAUAUUUUCCGAGCAAAGCAAUGGGGUUAGGAUAAAUGUAGCAUCUCUCUGUUCUUUCCACAGACACUGAGUUGGUUCCCAGGGCAGCCAAAGGGCUUAUUGACUCCCUUUUAUCUCCUCUUCUGGGACUCUAUUCUCCCUUAUAGUGGGAGACCAGCCCAAGGCUAUUGUUCCAGGCUGCAAAGAACAGUGGCUUAAGCUAGCUGGGUAACAGAAAAAAUGACAAGGUAUACAUACCUCAAGAGGUUGUUCUGAGAAUCCACUGAGGUUCUCUCCAGAUGUGAAGAAAAUUG
rnacentral:lncRNA from 1 species